rnacentral:rRNA from 1 species
AUCAGUGGCGAACGGGUGAGUAACACGUGAGCAAUCUGCCCUUGACUCUGGGAUAACUGCGGGAAACUGUAGCUAAUACCGGAUAUGACCCAGGAAGGCAUCUUUUUGGGUGGAAAGAAUUUUGGUCAAGGAUGAGCUCGCGGCCUAUCAGCUAGUUGGUGAGGUAAUGGCUCACCAAGGCGACGACGGGUAGCCGGCCUGAGAGGGUGACCGGCCACACUGGGACUGAGACACGGCCCAGACUCCUACGGGAGGCAGCAGUGGGGAAUAUUGGACAAUGGGCGCAAGCCUGAUCCAGCCAUGCCGCGUGAGUGAUGAAGGCCUUAGGGUUGUAAAGCUCUUUUGUCCGGGACGAUAAUGACGGUACCGGAAGAAUAAGCCCCGGCUAACUUCGUGCCAGCAGCCGCGGUAAUACGAAGGGGGCUAGCGUUGCUCGGAAUCACUGGGCGUAAAGGGCGCGUAGGCGG